rnacentral:rRNA from 1 species
GUGUCAGCAGCCGCGGUAAUACAGAGGGUGCGAGCGUUAAUCGGAAUUACUGGGCGUAAAGCGUGCGUAGGCGGUUUCGUAAGUCGGGUGUGAAAGCCCCGGGCUCAACCUGGGAAUUGCAUUCGAGACUGCGGAGCUGGAGUGCGGAAGAGGGAAGUGGAAUUUCCGGUGUAGCGGUGAAAUGCGUAGAUAUCGGAAGGAACAUCAGUGGCGAAAGCGACUUCCUGGUCCAGCACUGACGCUCAGGCACGAAAGCGUGGGGAGCAAACAGGAUUAGAUACCCUGGUAGUCCACGCCAUAAACGAUGAGAACUAGAUGUUGAGAGGGUAAGCCUCCCAGUGUCGAAGCUAACGCGAUAAGUUCUCCGCCUGGGGAGUACGGCCGCAAGGUUGAA